rnacentral:rRNA from 1 species
AUGACGAGCGUUGCGGCGGCGGUCGCCCUCCUCCGCCUCCCUCUCGCCCACCUCUCCUCCCACCUCCGGUCGCUCCCUUCCCGUCCCGUCCCGUCCGCUCGCCUCCGCCUCUCCGCCCCCCACCGCCCUCUCUGCUCCCUCCUCACCAGCGGCCACGGCCUCGCCGUAGCGGCCGUGUCCGAGGCGGUGGUCGCGGCGGAUGAAGAGGAGUUCGAAGCGACGGAGGAGCAGCAGGAGGAGGCGCCCCCUUCCUUCGUGCUCCCGCGGCUGCCGCGGCCGAAGCUCGACGUGAAGGAGCGGAAGGAGCUCGCCUCGUACGCGCACGGCCUCGGCAAGAAGCUCAAGUCGCAGCAGGUGGGGAAGGGCGGCGUCACGCCCAACCUCGUCACCGCCUUCACGGACAACCUCGAGUCCAACGAGCUCCUCAAGCUAAAAAUUCAUGGAAACUGCCCUGGAGAACUACCUGAUGUGAUACGACAACUUGAGGAGUCAACUGGAUCCAUUGCUGUUGACCAAAUCGGCCGCUCGGUUAUUCUAUAUAGGCCUAGCUCCAGCAAGAUGAAAAAGAGGGAAGAAGUCGCUAGAAACAGAGAAGAGUAUGCAAGAAACAAUCCGAGGUUUGGAAAAUCUGAAAAUGCAUUUGAAGAACGUCCUAGGAACAACAGCGCAGGCAGGAGAUUCGUAAAAUCUGGGUCGACAUUUAGGACUCAACAGAAGAGAAGACCGGUAGCAUCCAAGGGGUCGUCAUACAGCAGAGGGUAG